AUGCCGCCAUAUGCCAAGCGAAAAAGAAAGCGAGUUCUAGCCAACGAUUGCAGCGGAGGGGGGCCGAGCAUGCGUAGAUCUCGCCGUACACUAGUUCUUGUGCCCGAAUACCUUGCUGUUGCAGGUCAGGUCGUCCCAGCUCAACCCCCGAGUCUCCUAGCAGAGUCUGCCGUAUUACGUGGUAGGGUGGUGAAAUGUACUUGGAGCUGUCAUCAAAUCCUCCAUCUAGGAUUAAGAUCCUACGGAUUGGUGGAUAGAACUGGCAUGGCGAGUUUGUUAACAGCUGCAUGGACUGGUGAGGCCGAUAGGAGGUUUUAUGCUUGGCUGCUUAGUAGAUUUAGUUGGGAAGACAUGAGAUUCACGUUCCCUGACGGGGAAUAUAGAUAUUUCAGCCCCCGAUCCAUCGUUAGGACUUUGGGUCUGAAAAACAGUGGGCGCCAAGAGAUGUUUGCCUGUGUCCUUUGUAACGGUGGAACUGGUGAGUAUGAUCUCGCCGAGUGGGCAUUUGAAAUCAUCAGAGCAGCUGUAAAGAAAUUGCAAAAAGAUUUGGAGGCUGGGGUGAGAACACUAAUAGUAGGCGGCAGCCAUUUGGCACUCAUUCCGUGGUUCUUCGAUUGGAUUGAUUUUGGAGCAAAUAAUGUCGAGCCGCACACUGUCCCCCGCAUCAGUGUUUACACGGGGCAGAUAUGCAGGAGGCUAAUCUACCUUAUAAGGGAGUAUCCAAAUAUAUUCACUACAAAGCCUUAUGAUGCGUUCAACCCGCUCGAUGAUGUUUGGCACGGUGUAGUCGGAGAGUAUGGUGGAUUCCUACAACAACCAGCUCUGGAACUCAUUGCUGCCAGCCAACAGGAUGCAAUGGUGUCCGUCCAAGAGCAAAGGGGACAGGAGCCAGAUUAUGACUCCGGAAAAAUUACGGCCAUCCAGGAGCAUAGCAUGUUGUCUGAGCAAAGGCAAGGGGGGCAGGGGCCAGCUUGCGACUACGGAAGAAAUGGUAAUGAUAAGAAACUAUCAGCUGCAAAAGGAAAGUGGGCAGCGGAUGAUAGCUCAGACUCAUCGAGCAGCGACAGUGACGACGAACCGGUCGAUCCAAGUGUUCGUCUGGCUAGGAGAUUAGAAGAAGCUGGUAGAAGAGGUUUGCAUUGCAUCGUCUACCAAAACGUCCUCCCCACAUGA
rnacentral:rRNA from 1 species